GACGAACGCUGGCGGCGUGCUUAACACAUGCAAGUCGAACGGAAAGGCCCUGCUUUUGUGGGGUGCUCGAGUGGCGAACGGGUGAGUAACACGUGAGUAACCUGCCCUUGACUUUGGGAUAACUUCAGGAAACUGGGGCUAAUACCGGAUAGGAGCUCCUGCUGCAUGGUGGGGGUUGGGAAGUUUCGGCGGUUGGGGAUGGACUCGCGGCUUAUCAGCUUGUUGGUGGGGUAGUGGCUUACCAAGGCUUUGACGGGUAGCCGGCCUGAGAGGGUGACCGGCCACAUUGGGACUGAGAUACGGCCCAGACUCCUACGGGAGGCAGCAGUGGGGAAUAUUGCACAAUGGGCGGAAGCCUGAUGCAGCGACGCCGCGUGCGGGAUGACGGCCUUCGGGUUGUAAACCGCUUUCGCCUGUGACGAAGCGUGAGUGACGGUAAUUGGUAAAGAAGCACCGGCUAACUACGUG
rnacentral:rRNA from 1 species